rnacentral:lncRNA from 1 species
GGGGUGUGCCCGCGCCUCACACAAAGGCGGCGGUUGGGCGGGAGGCGCAUGCGCAGGGAGGGGUUGGCGCACCCACGUGGUGCUGGGUGAGGUAAAUACGGAGGAGCGUUGUCUGUGGGGGAGCUCGUAGCUGUGCGAGGGGGAGCGAUGGGGCUCGGUGUGCCUCAGGGGCAGGAGGUGGGGGUCUCCGCCUGAGAGGUUACUGGGGCUGCUGCUGAGCGUCCUGAGCGAGGCAGAGCCGUGCUGGCUUUGGGAGGCGCUCAGCUGGGAGCUGUGAGGCAGGCACUGCCUGUUGGCUGGGCGGAAGGGCCCUGCUGAGCAGCGCUGAGCGCUGUGCCCUUCCCUCAUGCUGCCCGGUGCGCGGGGAGCCGUGCCCUGCUCCUCAUCCCUGUGAGGUGUUCACUGGGAUCUCGUGCUUUGGCUCCCGUUACACCUACCUUAUAAACCCUACUGGCAGCGAGGCCUUGUCACCUGAAAUAAGCAAAGUUAGGCAACUCGGGGAGUGUGGGGAGGUGAGCAGCUCUGAGGUAUGGCCCUGCUGCUCCUCGUUGUGAGUUUAAUUUCUGGGCUGAGGGAAAUUAGUUUGUAAGCUAGGUGCGAGGUGAGCUGUGCCCAGCAUGGCUUUGUUGUGAACGAAUUGAGCCAAUCUCAUCUCCAUCUCUGGCAGUGCAGCAGCUUGCAGAUCAUCUCCUUUAGAGGCUUAUUGUGGAGACUGAAAAUUCUGCAGAACGUGGUGUUUCUAUUUGGAGGACAGUUCUACAUCCAGUUACUUAAUCUGAAAAGGAACAGCAGGAUAAAUAAUCACAGAGGGGAUUUGAAGUGUUGAUGUAGAAUUAUGAGGAUCAAAAAAAGAAAUGGGAAGAUGGUAUCUACCCUGGGAGUCUGGAGAUGCUCAUGCUCUUGAGUUUUGUUGCAACACAGAAAUAAAGGGUGCAUGUUGUGGUUCUGCUCCUGACACAGCUCUUUUGCCAUGCAGGAAGCCUCUGAGGAAGGCUGCCUUUCUAAAGAUUAGAUCCAAGUUGAUGGAAGUAAUCCCAGCUGACUUGGGCAGCGCUAGGUCAGACCAUAAACCAGGUGCUGUUGCCCUGCAGCUAACUGAAAAACAUGGCUUCAAUGUGAGAAGUAACUGAAGCACACAUUGGCAGUGGGUGGCAGAAGGGCCCAAGGUUUCAAAAGCAAACUGCAUGGGACCGCUGAAGAAACAGUCCAUUGAAAACCCACCUCAUGUAAGUUUUAGGCAAAGGUGGUCUCCAGCCCUUUCAAGCAGAAUUUCAAGUUGCUGAGCUCAUCCUCCAGCACCACUUGGUACUACUCAGGGUAGCACUUCCAUUGCCAGGAUCCAGCUCAGUAGAACAGUCCAUCUUUGCUCUCAUCAUUUGGCCCAAGCACACCUCAGCACCCAGCAAGUUCCCUCAUUCCUACUGAAGAGAUGGGAAUCCAGUGUUCAUCCUGAGUACCCUGCUACACCUUCUGCUUCCGUUUCCAUUUGCAAGAAGUGUUUGCUGCUUCUGUGGAAUUUAUUAAAGAUUUCUUUAAUAAAACUACUGUUG